rnacentral:rRNA from 1 species
AUUGAACGCUGGCGGCAGGCCUAACACAUGCAAGUCGAACGAGCGGCGGACGGGUGAGUAAUGUCUGGGAAACUGCCUGAUGGAGGGGGAUAACUAAGGGAAAAGGUAGCUAAUACCGCAUACCAUCGGAUGUGCCCAGAUGGGUUUGGCUAGUAGGUGGGGUAAAGGCUCACCUGGGGGACGAUCCCUAGCGGGUCUGAGAGGAUGAGCAGCCACACUGGAACGGUGACACGGUCCAGACGCCUACGUGAGGCAGCAGUGGGGAAUAUUUGACAAUUGGCGCAAGCCUGAUGCAGCCAUGCCGCGUGUAUGAAGAAGGCCUUAGGGUUGUAAAGUACUGUCAGCGGGGAGGCGUUACCCGCAGAAGAAGCACCGGCUAACUCCGUGCCAGCAGCCGCGGUAAUAC